AGAUCGUGGUCAUUUUUGCCUGCUACUAACCCUCUUCCACCAGUAGGGGCGUUCAGAGCUGAGGAGCUGGUCGUCAGGUGUUUCGCAUGAUUGUCAUCAGCUGGAGGACUAUAAGAAGGAGGCGAGCCAGUACUUCGAUGCCUGAGUGUUUUGCCUCUUCGUGGUAUUUUACCUGGCCAAAUCAUGGUUUUGAUUAUUGCUUGUCUGAGAAGAUUCUAAUUCUUGUUCCUUGACUAAUGUUUUGUUUUUGUCUCAGGUUGACCAAGCCUCGCUCAUGUGAGAUAUCUGAAGGAACUUUCCAAUAGCUUUUUGGACUCUGGAUUCUUGUUUUUGUUCCACUGGCAACCAGAUUAGAGACUGUUCUCACAGCUUCAUGCGAACCCUGUCCACCCUCCUCCAAGCCUCUCAGGACUCAUCUGCUACGGCAGUGCUGCAUAGCCACCUCUUACCAGGAUCACAACCUCUCUCCCUGGCGGACUUAACUCUACCCAAUUCUCCCUGCUACUGCGGUUUCCUGCACCAGAUUUCCUAAUAAAAGUUUUAACAAACGUUUCUCUAUUUCUUCGUAUUUUUCUGCAUGUGGGUCAAGUCGGCCAUCAACAUUAUGACAGUACGCACUCCAAUCUAUUGGAGCUGAGGAAGUUACACAUCUCAAGGCAGCCUCAAGUUCCUGAUUCAUCCUGUCUGAUUGUCCGUUAGAUUGUGGAUGGAGCCCUGAGGAAAGACUAACAGUUGCAUUGAGGCAAGAGCAGAAUUGUUUCCCUACCUGAGUGGUAAAUUGAGGCCCGUGGUCCGAGACAAUAUCCUGUGGAAUGCCAUGGAGGCGGAAAACGUGCUUCACCAGAAGCUGGGCAGUCUGGAAAGCCGUAGGCAGUUUCCUGAGGGCGAUGAGAUGGUAUGUGUUGAGAAUUAAAAUCACUUAGUUUCAUACUAUGUGUUAAGUUUGCAUGUGUGAGCAUAAAUCUGAGAUAUAACAUGUAUUGUGAGCCUGAGAGGGAGAGGUCACAGAGGUCACAGCAGGCUUCAGGUUGGAGAAAGGGUUAAUCCCUGGUCAGGAUGUUCCCAGCAGCUGUGAGCAGUAAACGCCGGCUGUUAGUCAUGAUAUAGGCAAUAAGUACUCCUGUAGGAGUAACUAAUUUAUAGUGGGGACACGGGAACGUAGAAAACUCCAUUAAGUGACCUGUAGCUUUGUAAACAAACCGUCAGCUUUGAAGUAAGGGUAUAAAAUGCUUUAACACUGAUUGUAAGACAGACCACUCGGUGGAAACAACUUAGCUUUGCUGAUCUCUGCGUCUCUCCCAAAGGCCUUUGGUAAAUCUUUCUUUCCUUGUAUCAUUUUUGUUGUAUUCAAUACAGAUUGGAAAUCAUUGGACUUAUUAUUUACGAAAUUAAACUUGUGUUAAUCUUAA